rnacentral:rRNA from 1 species
CCUACGGGAGGCAGCAGUGAGGAAUAUUGGUCAAUGGACGAGAGCCUGACCCAGCCAAGCAGCGUGAAGGAUGACUGCUCUAUGGGUUGUAAAUUUUUUUUAUAAAGGAAUAAAGUGAGGCACGUGUGCCUGUUUGUACGUACUUUAUGAAUAAGGAUCGGCUAACUCCGUGCCAGCAGCCGCGGUAAUACGGAGGAUUCGAGCGUUAUCUGGAUUUAUUGGGUUUAAAGGGAGCGUAGAUGGGUUGGCAAGUCAGUUGUGAAAGUCUGGGGCUCAACCGUAAAAUUGCAAUUGAUACUGGCAGUCUUGAGUACAGGUGAGGUAGACGGAAUUCGUGGUGUAGCGGUGAAAUGCGUAGAUAUUAGGAGGAACACCAGUUGCGAAGGCAGCUUACUGAACUGCAACUGACAUUGAUGCUCGAAAGUGUGGGUAUCAAACAGGAUUAGAUACCCCUGUAGUC